rnacentral:rRNA from 1 species
GACGAACGCUGGCGGCGUGCUUAACACAUGCAUGUCGAACGAUGAAGCCGGAGCUUGCUCCGGUGGAUUAGUGGCGAACGGGUGAGUAACACGUGAGCAAUCUGCCCUUGACUCUGGGAUAACUGCGGGAAACUGUAGCUAAUACCGGAUACGACACCUUGGGGCAUCCCAGGGUGUGGAAAGAAUUUCGGUCAAGGAUGAGCUCGCGGCCUAUCAGCUAGUUGGUGAGGUAAUGGCUCACCAAGGCGACGACGGGUAGCCGGCCUGAGAGGGUGACCGGCCACACUGGAACUGAGACACGGUCCAGACUCCUACGGGAGGCAGCAGUGGGGAAUAUUGCACAAUGGGCGAAAGCCUGACUCAGCAACGCCGCGUGGGGGAUGAAGGCCUUCGGGUUGUAAACCUCUUUUAGCAGGGAAGAAGCGAAAGUGACGGUACCUGCAGAAAAAGCACCGGCUAACUACGUGCCAGCAGCCGCAGUAA